rnacentral:rRNA from 1 species
AGCCUGAUCCAGCAAUGCCGCGUGAGUGAUGAAGGCCUUAGGGUUGUAAAGCUCUUUUACCCGGGAAGAUAAUGACUGUACCUGUAGAAUAAGCUCCGGCUAACUCCGUGCCAGCAGCCGCGGUGGUAAAGUUCGCGUAAAUUACUGGGCGUAAAGCGGGUGAAAGC